GGGAAACGUUUAGUGCCGGCAGACCGGCCGAAGCUUUCGGCCGGUCGCGCUGGCUCGCGCGCUACGCGCAUGUCUCUAGUACAAGCCACGUAACCAGUAAGGCCCACCAACCGCUCAUUCUUCUUCCUUAUCCUCACUUGGAGCACCCCAGCCACCAAUCCCCCACAUCUCUAUCUCACCAUCUCGCAUCUCCGGCCGGCUCACGCGGGUCAUGGCCACCGCCCCAUGAAAUUGCUGCUGCCCAGGCCCACGCGCACCCCAGGAACUGCUGUGGGGAACCAAGUCAGCGAUGACGGACGCAGACUGACGAUGGUUGUCCACCACUUCCCUUCUCGUCCAUCUCCGGCCACGGUCAGGGCGUACUCGCAGCUCCGCGGCUGCACGGCGUGCUACAACCAGUAACCGGCCAUGCUACAACCGAUGGCCGGAUUUGUUACAAGGGAGGCGACGGUGAUUUGUGGCGGCGACGUCGGUGCUGCGAUUUUGCUGCAGCCGGCACCGGGAAAGCUACCACCGGCAACGGGAUUUGCUACAACCAGUGGGGCCAUACCACGGCGGUGGUGACCACGGCCUGAUGGUGGUGACCAUGGCCCGACGGUAGUGCUGCAACCAGUUUGUAUUUUGCUACAACCAACCCCAUUUUUUGCUACUACCGUCUUCGAAUUUUGCUGGAAACAACCCAUUCUUUGCUACCACCGUCUUGAUUUUUGCUACAACCAGUGUGUGAUUUUGCUUUCACCAUAUGAUGUUUUUGCUGGAACCGGCGGCUCGUAUUUUCUUGGUUCCAUCUCCCGUGCGAGUUUUUUGCCGGAGCCGGGGUCCCAUUUUUUUUUUGCUUCCACAGUAUGUUUGUUUUGCUGGAAUCGGCACUGAUUUUUGCCACCACCACUUUUUUUGGUUGUAUGCUACGCGGUUGUGCCAUUUUGAUUCUGUAACCGGCGACGAGGAUGGCCGGCUGCCAUUGGACUGCAGCUGCCGCAUCGGAGCUGCGGCCGUCGCCAUGAGGAGCUGCAACCAUAGGAAGCAGGCUGCUACAUGCGCGAAGCCGACGACCCCAACCGACAGCGACGACGGCGAC
rnacentral:rRNA from 1 species